UAGAGUUUGAUCAUGGCUCAGGAUGAACGCUAGCGGCAGGCUUAACACAUGCAAGUCGAGGGGCAUCGGGAGGGAAGCUUGCUUUCCUUGCCGGCGACCGGCGCACGGGUGAGUAACACGUAUGCAACCUGCCCUCUUCAGGGGGACAACCUUCCGAAAGGGAGGCUAAUCCCGCGUAUAUCGGUUUCGGGCAUCCGAGAUCGAGGAAAGAUUCAUCGGAAGAGGAUGGGCAUGCGGCGCAUUAGCUUGACGGCGGGGUAACGGCCCACCGUGGCGACGAUGCGUAGGGGUUCUGAGAGGAAGGUCCCCCACACUGGUACUGAGACACGGACCAGACUCCUACGGGAGGCAGCAGUGAGGAAUAUUGGUCAAUGGGAGAGAUCCUGAACCAGCCAAGCCGCGUGAGGGAAGACGGCCCUAUGGGUUGUAAACCUCUUUUGUCGGAGAACAAAACCCGGGACGUGUCCCGGACUGCGUGUAUCCGAAGAAAAAGCAUCGGCUAACUCCGUGCCAGCAGCCGCGGUAAUACGGAGGAUGCGAGCGUUAUCCGGAUUUAUUGGGUUUAAAGGGUGCGUAGGCGGUCCGUUAAGUCAGCGGUAAAAUUGCGGGGCUCAACCCCGUCGAGCCGUUGAAACUGGCAGACUUGAGUUGGCGAGAAGUACGCGGAAUGCGCGGUGUAGCGGUGAAAUGCAUAGAUAUCGCGCAGAACUCCGAUUGCGAAGGCAGCGUACCGGCGCCAGACUGACGCUGAGGCACGAAAGCGUGGGGAUCGAACAGGAUUAGAUACCCUGGUAGUCCACGCAGUAAACGAUGAAUGCUGGUUGUCCGGGUCGAAUGAGAUCUGGGCGGCGAAGCGAAAGCGAUAAGCAUUCCACCUGGGGAGUACGCCGGCAACGGUGAAACUCAAAGGAAUUGACGGGGGCCCGCACAAGCGGAGGAACAUGUGGUUUAAUUCGAUGAUACGCGAGGAACCUUACCCGGGCUCAAACGGGAGCGGAAUGGACCAGAGACGGUUCAGCCUACGGGCCGCUUCCGAGGUGCUGCAUGGUUGUCGUCAGCUCGUGCCGUGAGGUGUCGGCUUAAGUGCCAUAACGAGCGCAACCCCCGCCGGCAGUUGCUAACGGGCAAUGCCGAGGACUCUGCCGGGACUGCCGCCGCAAGGCGAGAGGAAGGCGGGGAUGACGUCAAAUCAGCACGGCCCUUACGUCCGGGGCGACACACGUGUUACAAUGGGCGGUGCAGCGGGAAGCCAGGCGGCGACGCCGAGCGGAACCCGAAAGCCGUUCUCAGUUCGGAUCGGAGUCUGCAACCCGACUCCGUGAAGCUGGAUUCGCUAGUAAUCGCGCAUCAGCCAUGGCGCGGUGAAUACGUUCCCGGGCCUUGUACACACCGCCCGUCAAGCCAUGGGAGCCGGGGGUGCUUGAAGUGCGUCGCCGCGAGGCGCGCCCUAGAGCAAAACCGGUGACUGGGGCUAAGUCGUAACAAGGUAGCCGUA
rnacentral:rRNA from 1 species